rnacentral:lncRNA from 1 species
UUUGGGUUUGGGGGUUGGGGGUCUGUGGCCAGCACCUGGAGAGGAUUUAUCUUGGAAGAGAUUAGUGUUUCCCAGAGAAGAUGAUUCUAGGUUUGAUGAAACACCUUCUCCCCACCAGUGGCCAGCAACUGAAAAGGAUUUAUCUUGAAAGAGACGAAAGCUAUCAAUAUGUGGAUUUCUUUUUCACUCCCUUUUCCCAGGCUACACUAUUUUGGGGUUUUUCAUUUUCCAUAUCCAACAGGGACGGCUGAUUGAUGACCACAUCAAACGUCAGGCACAGGGAGUGAGAGAGUGUUGGUCUAAUCAUGCACCACUAUUGAGACCUUGAAACCUAGGCUGGUCUGAACUGAGAUCUACUCCACAUGUGAAUACAUACACUCAGUUACUAAGAUUUGGUUCAAAAAGAAGAAUAUAAAAUGCUUCAUCGAUAAUCUCUAAUAGUGACUAUGUUGAAAUCAUUUGGAUAUAUUGUGUUAAAUAAAAUAAUUGUUGAAGGGCUGGGGUUGUGGCUCAGUGGUAGAGCCCUCGCCUAGCAUGCAGGAGGCACUGGGUUCGAUCCUCGGCACCAUAUAAAUGUAAAAUAAAGAUAUUGUGUCCACCUAAAACUUAAGAAUAAAUAUUA